UGCAUAUCAUAGGGAGGAAAAGAAACCAACAGGGAUUGCCUUAGUAACGGCGAGUGAAGCGGCAAAAGCUCAAUUUGAAAACGCUUCGGCGUGUUGUAAGUAAAGUGGUUAGACGCUUUUUAAUAAGUCCCUUGGAACAGGGCGCCAUAGAGGGUGAUAGCCCCGUAUUAAAUUGUCUAGUGUGCUACUUUAGAGCGAGUCGAGUUGUUUGGGAAUGCAGCUCAAAUAGGUGGUAAACUCCAUCUAAAGCUAAAUAUUGCUGGGAGACCGAUAGCGAACAAGUACAGUGAUGGAAAGAUGAAAAGCACUUUGAAAAGAGAGUGAAAUAGCGUGUGAAAUUGUUGGAGGGGAAGGCGAUGGUAGGAAUAAGAGGCUGCGGUUUGAAAUAA
rnacentral:rRNA from 1 species